rnacentral:rRNA from 1 species
AUUGAACGCUGGCGGCAUGCCUUACACAUGCAAGUCGAACGGCAGCAUGGGUGCUUGCACCUGAUGGCGAGUGGCGAACGGGUGAGUAAAGCAUCGGAACGUGCCCUGAAGUGGGGGAUAACGUAGCGAAAGUUACGCUAAUACCGCAUAUUCUGUGAGCAGGAAAGCAGGGGAUCUUCGGGCCUUGUGCUUUAGGAGCGGCCGAUGUCGGAUUAGCUAGUUGGUGAGGUAAAGGCUCACCAAGGCGACGAUCCGUAGCGGGUCUGAGAGGAUGAUCCGCCACACUGGGACUGAGACACGGCCCAGACUCCUACGGGGGGCAGCAGUGGGGAAUUUUGGACAAUGGGCGCAAGCCUGAUCCAGCCAUGCCGCGUGAGUGAAGAAGGCCUUCGGGUUGUAAAGCUCUUUCGGCGGGGAAGAAAUGGCGCUUGUUAAUACCGAGCGUUGAUGACGGUACCCGCAUAAGAAGCACCGGCUAACUACGUGCCAGCAGCCGCAGUAAGAC